UUUGAUGAUUCCCCCAUAGAACGGUAAGUGUGGGUGCCUCUCACAAUGGAAUUUGGGUUGUGAGUUUCAGAAGGGACAUCUUUUUUCAAGUAAGAAGGCCUAGUUGGGCCGUGUCUUAUUAAAGCAAAAACAACAAUAUUUAAACGACCUGGUCCAAAAGUGGUCAAGGCCCAUAAAAACCACAAUGAAGACAAAACCAUAACUAAUGAAUCUAAAAAGGGGAGUUUAGAAGGCAAAAUGAAUUAAGUGAAAGUGGAAGUGGUCCAAGAGAUGCUGAUUAGAGAUCACCACCUAUUCGGGGAGCUGUGAAAACGGUGGAGGGAAACUUUGAUGUUCUCUAACUCCUCGGAAAUAAAUUAAACUUCUUCAAGGUAUCUAUCGAUCCUCAAGAAAUCCUCCAUUCUAGAGAUGUCUCCAAGCUCUCACCAGACGCAUCAAAAUUUGCUACCAAAUGAAGAAACUUCAAGGUUAACUCAUAAACUUCAUCCAUUUGUGGUAUUGAGUGAGUAGCUAAACAUUGAUUGCGGCUCCCAAUGUCAGAUUUUCCAGAGAUGAGGUAGCGACAGUCAGAUCUCAAAGCGUACCCAGAUUUUCUCUUUUUAUCAUUUGCUUAUUUGCAUUGGAG